UACGUAGGGACCGAGCGUUGUCCGGAAUCAUUGGGCGUAAAGAGCGUGUAGGCGGCCACUUAAGUCCUGCGUGAAAUCUUGCGGCUCAACCGCAAGCGGUCGUGGGAAACUGGGUGGCUAGAGUGCGGGAGAGGAGAGUGGAAUUCCUGGUGUAGCGGUGGAAUGCGCAGAUAUCAGGAAGAACACCCGUGGCGAAGGCGGCUCUCUGGAACGCAACUGGACGCUGAGACGCGAAAGCGUGGGGAGCAAACAGG
rnacentral:rRNA from 1 species